rnacentral:rRNA from 1 species
ACUCCUACGGGAGGCAGCAGUGGGGAAUAUUGCACAAUGGGGGAAACCCUGAUGCAGCCAUGCCGCGUGUGUGAAGAAGGCCUUGGGUUGUAAAGCACUUUCAGUAGGGAGGAAGGUAGUGUAGUUAACACCUGCAUUAUUUGACGUUACCUACAGAAGAAGCACCGGCUAACUCCGUGCCAGCAGCCGCGGUAAUACGGAGGGUGCGAGCGUUAAUCGGAAUUACUGGGCGUAAAGCGCAUGCAGGCGGCCUGUUAAGUCAGAUGUGAAAGCCCGGGGCUUAACCUCGGAAUUGCAUUUGAAACUGGCAGGCUAGAGUCUUGUAGAGGGGUUAGAAUUUCAGGUGUAGCGGUGAAAUGCGUAGAGAUCUGAAGGAAUACCAGUGGCGAAGGCGGCCCCUGGACAAAGACUGACGCUCAGAUGCGAAAGCGUGGGAGCAAACAGGAUUAGAUACCCCUGGUAGACUGU